rnacentral:rRNA from 1 species
AUACCCAAUGAUAUCUCUAGAAGACAUCUGAAAGAGAUUAAAGAUUUAUCGGUGAUGGAUGGGGAUGCGUCUGAUUAGCUUGUUGGCGGGGUAACGGCCCACCAAGGCAACGAUCAGUAGGGGUUCUGAGAGGAAGGUCCCCCACAUUGGAACUGAGACACGGUCCAAACUCCUACGGGAGGCAGCAGUGAGGAAUAUUGGUCAAUGGACGAGAGUCUGAACCAGCCAAGUAGCGUGCAGGAAGACGGCCCUAUGGGUUGUAAACUGCUUUUAUAAGGGAAUAAAGUGAGUCUCGUGAGACUUUUUGCAUGUACCUUAUGAAUAAGGACCGGCUAAUUCCGUGCCAGCAGCCGCGGUAAUACGGAAGGUCCGGGCGUUAUCCGGAUUUAUUGGGUUUAAAGGGAGCGUAGGCCGGAGAUUAAGCG